rnacentral:rRNA from 1 species
CCUACGGGCGGCAGCAGUGGGGACUAUUGCACAAUGGGGGAAACCCUGAUGCAGCGACGCCGCGUGAGUGAAGAAGUAUUUCGGUAUGUAAAGCUCUAUCAGCAGGGAAGAAAAUGACGGUACCUGACUAAGAAGCCCCGGCUAACUACGUGCCAGCAGCCGCGGUAAUACGUAGGGGGCAAGCGUUAUCCGGAUUUACUGGGUGUAAAGGGAGCGUAGGUGGCAUGGUAAGCCAGAAGUGAAAACCCGGGGCUCAACCCCGCGGAUUGCUUUUGGAACUAUCAGGCUGGAGUGCGGGAGGGGCAGGCGGAAUUCCUGGUGUAGCGGUGAAAUGCGUAGAUAUCAGGAGGAACACCGGCGGCGAAGGCGGCCUGCUGGACCGCGACUGACGUUGAGGCUCGAAAGCGUGGGGAGCGAACAGGAUUAGAUACCCGGGUAGUC